UACGGAAGGCAGCAGUGGGGAAUAUUGCACAAUGGGCGAAAGCCUGAUGCAGCUAUGCCGCGUGUAUGAAGAAGGCCUUAGGGUUGUAAAGUACUUUCAUCGGGGAGGAAAAAACAAAACUAAUAAUUUUAUUUCUUGACGUUACCCGAAAAAGAAGCACCGGCUAACUCCGUGCCAGCAGCCGCGGUAAUACGGAGGGUGCUAGCGUUAAUCAGAAUUACUGGGCGUAAAGAGCACGUAGGUGGUUUUUUUAAGUCAGAUGUGAAAUCCCUGGGCUUAACCUAGGAACUGCAUUUUGAAACUGAAAUACUAGAGUAUCGUAGAGGGAGGUAGAAUUCUAGGUGUAGCGGUGAAAUGCGUAGAUAUCUGGAGGAAUACCUGUGGCGAAAGCGGCCUCCUAAACGAAUACUGACACUGAGGGUGCGAAAGCGUGGGGAGCAAACAGGGAUUAGAUACC
rnacentral:rRNA from 1 species